rnacentral:rRNA from 1 species
GACGAACGCUGGCGGCGUGCUUAACACAUGCAAGUCGAGCGGUAAGGCCCUUUCGGGGGUACACGAGCGGCGAACGGGUGAGUAACACGUGGGUGACCUGCCCUCAGCUCUGGGAUAAGCCUGGGAAACCGGGUCUAAUACUGGAUAUGACUCCAUGACGCAUGUUGUGGGGUGGAAAGCCUUGUGCGGCUGAGGAUGGGCCCGCGGCCUAUCAGCUUGUUGGUGGGGUGANGGCCUACCAAGGCGACGACGGGUAGCCGGCCUGAGAGGGCGACCGGCCACACUGGGACUGAGACACGGGCCCAGACUCCUACGGGAGGCAGCAGUGGGGAAUCUUGCGCAAUGGGCGAAAGCCUGACGCAGCGACGCCGCGUGAGGGAUGACGGCCUGGUGUAAC